UGGCUGAUGGCGGAUGCCUUGGUGCCAAUAGGCGAUGAAGGACGCGACAAGCUGCGAUAAGCCACGGAUAGCGGCAAAUACGCUUUGACCCGUGGACGUCCGAAUGGGGUAACCCGGCUGGGUGAAUGCCCAGUCGCCAGUGUGUGAAUCAAUAGCACACUGCGCGCAAUACCUGGUGAAGUGAAACAUCUCAGUAACCGCAGGAAAAGAAAUCAACCGAGAUUCUCCUAGUAGCGGCGAGCGAACGGGGAGGAGCCCAAACCCGGGCGGCGCACGAGCCCGUUGGCGCUGCCGUUCGGGGGUUGAACGACUCAGUUGGAGGGGGCGACGGACCCCUCGCUUGGGUGCGACACGCAGCCGAACAUCGCUGGAACGGGUGGCCGGAGCGGGUGAGAGCCCCGUAGGCGAAAGGCGAAAGCACCUAUCCGGCACCUGAGUAGGACCAGACACGUGAAAGCUGGUCUGAAUCCACGGGGCCCAUCCCGUAAGGCUAAGUACUCGCUGGCGACCGAUAGUGCACGAGUACCGUGAGGGAAAGGUGAAAAGAACCCCGGAAGGGGAGUGAAAUAGAUCCUGAAACCGCAUGCUUACAAAAAGUCGGAGCCCGCAAGGGUGACGGCGUACCUUUUGUAUAAUGGGUCAGCGACUUAUAUUCUGUAGCAAGGUUAACCGAAUAGGGGAGCCGUAGGGAAACCGAGUCUUAAUAGGGCGACUAGUUGCAUGCCGUAGACCCGAAACCGGGUGACCUAUCCAUGGCCAGGUUGAAGCGAGGGUAAAACUUCGUGGAGGACCGAACCACGUUGCUGUUGAAAAAGCAUGGGAUGAGCUGUGGAUAGCGGAGAAAUUCCAAUCGAACUCGGAGAUAGCUGGUUCUCCCCGAAAUGCAUUUAGGUGCAGCGUUGCGUGUUUCGUGCCGGAGGUAGAGCACUGGAUAGGCGAUGGGCCCCACCGGGUUACUGACCUUAGCCAAACUCCGAAUGCCGGUAAGUGAGAGCAUGGCAGUGAGACUGCGGGGGAUAAGCUCCGUAGUCGAGAGGGAAACAGCCCAGAACAUCAGCUAAGGCCCCUAAGCGUGUGCUAAGUGGGGAAGGAUGUGGAGUUGCACAGACAACCAGGAGGUUGGCUUGGAGGCAGCCAUCCUUGAAAGAGUGCGUAAUAGCUCACUGGUCAAGUGAUUCCGCGCCGACAAUGUAGCGGGGCUCAAGUACACCGCCGAAACCGUGGCAUUCAAGCUUUUGUUUGGAUGGGUAGGGGAGCGUCGUGCACGAGGUGAAGCCAGCGGGGAACUUCUGGUGGAUUGUGUACGAGUGAGAAUGCAGGCAUGAGUAGCGAAAGACGGGUGAGAAACCCGUCCGCCGGAUGACCAAGGGUUCCAGGGUCAAGCUAAUCUGCCCUGGGUAAGUCGGGACCUAAGGCGAGGCCGACAGGCGUAGUCGAUGGAUAACCGGUUGAUAUUCCGGUACCCGCUGUGAAGCGUCAAACAUCGAACCCAUUAAUGCUAAGGCCGUGAAGCCGCCCUGAUCUCUUCGGAGUUGAGGGGAGUGGUGGAGCCGCUGACCCAAGGUGGUAGUAGGUGAGUGAUGGGGUGACGCAGGAAGGUAGUCCAUCCCGGGCGGUGGUUGUCCCGGGGUAAGGGUGUAGGACGCAGGGUAGGCAAAUCCGCCUUGCACAUAGUCUGAGACCUGAUGCCGAGCCGAUUGUGGUGAAGUGGAUGAUCCUAUGCUGUCGAGAAAAGCCUCUAGCGAGUUUCGAGCGGCCCGUACCCCAAACCGACACAGGUGGUCAGGGUGAGAAUCCCAAGGCGCUUGAGAGAACUCCGGUUAAGGAACUAGGCAAAUUGUAGCCGUACCUUCGGAAGAAGGCUAGCCUCUUGGUGUGUAGUGCACAACGAAGCAUCGGGAGGUCGCAGAGAAAUGGGGGUUGCGACUGUUUACCAAAAACACAGGUCUCUGCCAACCCGCAAGGGGACGUAUAGGGGCUGACACCUGCCCAGUGCCGGAAGGUUAAGAGGAGCGGUCAGGCGCAAGCCGAAGCUGCGAAUUGAAGCCCCGGUGAACGGCGGCCGUAACUAUAACGGUCCUAAGGUAGCGAAAUUCCUUGUCGGGUAAGUUCCGACCCGCACGAAUGGCCUCAUGAGUGGAGCACUGUCUCAACGAAGGACCCGGCGAAAUUGAAGUACGUGUGAAGAUGCGCGUUACCCGCACUAGGACAAAAAGAC
rnacentral:rRNA from 1 species